rnacentral:rRNA from 1 species
AAUGAACGCUGGCGGCGCGCCUAAUACAUGCAAGUCGAGCGAGAAGACGUAGCAAUACGUUUGUAAAGCGGCGAACGGGUGAGGAAUACAUGGGUAACCUACCCUCGAGUGGGGAAUAACUAGCCGAAAGGUUAGCUAAUACCGCGUACGCUUCUUGGACUUCGGUUCAGGGAGGAAAGCGAUGCCGAGGGUAUCGCGCUCUUGGAUGGGCUCAUGUCCUAUCAGCUUGUUGGGAGGUAACGGCUCACCAAGGCUUCGACGGGUAGCUGGUCUGAGAGGACGAUCAGCCACACUGGCACUGCGACACGGGCCAGACUCCUACGGGAGGCAGCAGUAAGGAAUAUUGCGCAAUAGGCGAAAGCCUGACGCAGCGACGCCGCGUGGGGGA